GGAUUCCCUAGUACGGCGAGUGAAGCGGGAAGAGCUCAAAUUUGAAAUCUGGUAGCCUUCGGCUGCCCGAGUUGUAAUCUAGAGAAGUGUUUUCCGUGCCGGCCCAUGUACAAGUCCCUUGGAACAGGGCGUCAUAGAGGGUGAGAAUCCCGUCCUUGACAUGGACCCCCGGUGCUUUGUGAUACACUUUCAACGAGUCGAGUUGUUUGGGAAUGCAGCUCAAAAUGGGUGGUGAAUUCCAUCUAAAGCUAAAUAUUGGCGAGAGACCGAUAGCGAACAAGUACCGUGAGGGAAAGAUGAAAAGCACUUUGGAAAGAGAGUUAAACAGUACGUGAAAUUGUUGAAAGGGAAACGAUUGAAGUCAGUCAUGCUCUUUGGAUUCAGCCGUUCUGCGGUGUAUUUCCAUUGAGUGGGGUCAACAUCAGUUUUGACCGCUGGAUAAAGGCACUAGGAAGGUAGCACUCUCGGGUGAACUUAUAGCCUAGCGUCAUAUACAGUGGUUGGGACUGAGGAACGCAGCAUGCCUUUAUGGCCGGGAUUCGUCCACGUACAUGCUUAGGAUGUUGACAUAAUGGCUUUAAACGAC
rnacentral:rRNA from 1 species